rnacentral:misc_RNA from 1 species
GAUGAAGAACGCAGCGAAAUGCGAUAAGUAGUGUGAAUUGCAGAAUUCAGUGAAUCAUCGAAUCUUUGAACGCACAUUGCGCCCCUUGGUAUUCCAUGGGGCAUGCCUGUUCGAGCGUCAUUUACACCCUCAAGCUCUGCUUGGUGUUGGGCGUCUGUCCCGCUGCUUUGCGCGGACUCGCCUCAAAGGUAUUGGCAGCGAUCAUGCCAGCUUCUCGCGCAGCACAUUGCGCUUCUUGAAGUUCUGGUGGAUCAGCGUCCAUUAAGCUUACCUUCAUGACUUGACCUCGGAUCAGGUAGGGAUACCCGCUGAACUUAAGCAUGUCAAUAAGCGGAGGA